CGGCAAUUAAGUGCCAGUCGAUGCACUCUCCUGAGGCUCUUUUUCCGAAUCAUCCAGCGGUGGCAGUAUGGGCAAUGGCUGGUCACAUGGCGACCGGAUCCUGGAGGCUCUACCUUGGCCGAUAGGAGUAGAGGUGGGUACCUGUGCAUUCAGCUUCACCCACAAGCCCGCAUUUUUAAUCUCCCUUUAUUGGGUCUAUUCCCCUCUUCUAUUUGCCAAUAUCUUCCUAUUCUGUACAGUUGCCAAAGAACAUCUAAAUAUCCCCACAAUACGGUAAAUUUUAUUUUCUAUUGUGUGAUAUUCACAAUAUCAAGUGUCACAUGACUCUCUCUACAAAGCCAUUUUGUAGUGGCCUCACUUGUAAAAUCACGACAUGACUAUUUUUAUAUUUUGUGUGCAUAAUUUGUUUUCUAUUAAUAUAUAUUUACGGUCUAUCCUGUAAACUACAAUUUGAAAUGCAAAUAUGCUAAUUAGCAGUCACUCGACAAUGACAUCAUUUGACAACAAAUUUUGCAUUUCUGUGACUGUUGUAUAAAGAGAAGAUUUCCAGGCUUAUGCAACACUUUGGUAAAACCAUUUCUAUCGACAAAACAAGUUAGUGGUUACUGUUUUUUUUUAUUAUUUCUUACAACUAAUAAAACAAUUAAUUUUUUAGGUUAAUAUUUUCGGAUUCUGUUUCCUUGGUGGGGUAUGCACCACCUAGGCCCUAAGGAUUGAGCAGACCAUCAAAUGGUGUGCAAUAUAUAGUUAUGUUUUCUAUUCCAUAUCCACACAGGAGAGAACCUGAACCACCCACAUACCCCAGAGUUAGGAUCAUAAUGCUCUAUCCUGUAUUACAGGGCUCCAAUAAAUGUAAGUGCAAAUGCAUUCAUCUACCCAUCCAGUGCUCUAUUGCCAAAUAUAGUACACUAGAUAGUUUUGUUUUUGGAUUCCCUUUUCUUGUUCCCCUCUGCUGCAUAUUGGAUGUAAUAUGUUUUUGAGCAAGAGGUACAAUCAGAUCCACAUCUCGUGCACAUAAAAGGAGCUACCUUAUAGCUCAACAUAGUGUAAGUGCACCCUUUUCUCCUUGUUUUCUCAGUGAUUAUAACAUACUACACUAACAGAUUUCUACCUUAUAUCAUACUUAUUUCAUUACACUACAACUAAGGACAUUUAAGGUGCUGCACCCUCCUCCCCCUCCACAAUAAGACUUACUCGAUGAGUGUUACAAGUGUGUAAAAAAUUUAGAAAUAUGUAACACAGGCAUACGGCAACUUCUACAGUAUAUUGUAGACUUGAGCAAAAAUUUUAUUUGGAUGGUUUGUCCGAAUCAAAUUCCUUUGAAUCCACACCCCAACAGAGAGAUUCUAGCAUUCUGUAUCCUGCUAAACCACAAUGCAGCAAAGGGAAGGAUUGACGCUUUUAUUUAUAUUAAGUAGGUUUAUGUGCAUGAAAUGUCUCGUUUAACCCCUUAAGGACACAGCUUCAGAAGCAUGUCUUACCUUUAAGGACACAAGCCUUUUUUGCUGUUUGUACUCAAACGCAAUUUGCAUCUCUGUCAUUUAUUGCACCAACACAUAUUAUAUAUCCAUUUUUUAGAGGGCAAACAGGGCUUUAAUUUGAUGUCACAUAUACAUAGAUACAUAAAUUAUUUUAAAAAAACAAAAAAUUGAAAAGAAAACAAAAACAUAUUUUUUUUUUCCUCACAGUUUUGGCUAUAAUAGCGUGUGCAUAAUACGUCCAGCUUAGAAAAAGUAAUUCAAAAUAAAUUAAUUUAUGUGUCUUGAUUUAUAGAUUGCAUCAUAUGUAUAGGAUUUCAGCUUAUUUUGACCGCUACAGGUCACAAAAUACAAGAACUAAAAUAAAAUUUCAAUUUGCAACAAUUUUAGAAUUUGGUAUGUUUGUCUUGUAGGUUUAGUAGCCAUCACAGAAAACAAAAUUGCUGCACAAAAGUAUAUAUUUAUAUAAAGUAGACAUCACAGGCUAUUUACCUAAGGUUAUGUUGAAACUUUUUACGUAGCCAUUUCAGCGUCAAUCUCUUCUAAAUAUUGGAGUAAAAUUGUGUUUUUUCUUUAUUUUGGCAAAUACACAUAUAGCAAGGUUUUUGUAAUGUGUAUUUCAUAGAGCUGGUGUGUGCUAUUCCUGCACAGAACCCCAUAUUGUGUUCAGCUACAUCUGCUGAGUAUAACAAUACCCCCAUUGUAUGCGUUUGGCACUAUUCUGUGAAGCUACAGUGCCAUAUAAGAGACAAGGAUAAUUCAGUUUCAGGCCUAUAUCUCAUUUUAGGGUAUUAUAGCAAUGCGACUGUUCAAAUAACCCCACAAAGGGCUUUCAUUUGAUAAAGCAGACACCCCAGGGUAUCUUAUAUGGUGUAUAUUGUGCCUUAACUUGUCACCAUUUUUUCACCAAUAUAUGUCAAUGUUUGUGGUGAGGGGGGGAAAUUGCAUUUUUACAUAUAGGUUGCAUUUUUGCUGAGUAUUUCUUACACUUAAUAUGUAUCACUGUCAUAAAAAUCCCCAAAUUAUACUCAGUUACAUCUUCUGAGUAAAACAAUAUGCCCAAUGUAUGACCUAGACACUAUUUUGUGAGGCUACAGUGCUGUAAAAGAGACGUGACAAGUUCAGGAGUUUAAGUGCAAAUUUUCAUGGAGGGUUUUGAUGCGUUCGUGUCCCACUUUGGAGCACUCUACAUAUUACAACUACACCAUAAAGGCAUACCAUUUCUUAAAGAAGACAUCCCAGGGCAUUUCAAAAGACGUAUUUUGAACCUUAGCGUGGGAUCAUUUUUCCGCUAGCAUGUACCAAGUGUAGUUGUAAUAAGCAUUUUUUCUGCCUUUUUGACACACAAAGUGAGUUUGCACAGUAUAUUUUUCAAAUCUUAUGUGUACUACAACAGUGUAAUACUUCAUAUGUUGCUCAGCUAUGUCGGCUUAGUACAGCAAUACCCUCAUAUGUACCUUUGCCAGAUAUAUGUGGACAUCGGAGGGGCACAUUUGAAACGCAGCCAUUCAGUUUUUUUCUAACUUUGAAGUUUUACGCUGUGUCCAUGUUCCAUCUUGGAGUAGUUUAGAUGGUUGGUUAUUGAAACUUCCCCACAAACACAUACUAUUUAUUAAAGAAUACACCCUGGGGUAAUUCAAAAGGCAAAUUUUGAACCUUAGUGUGGGAUCAUGUUUUUCUCUAGUUUGGUCCAGGUGUAGUGGUAAUAAGCAUUUAUAAAUUUAUUUUUGUACUUUUUAAAACUAGUUUUUAAACUUUUUUUGCAUAUUAAUUUUUCUAAACUUUCUUCCAACUUUUUUUUUUUUUUUACAGAUUUAACAAGUUAUAAGCUUUUUUUUACCGUUAACCCCUAACUAGCAGUAAGCAGCACUAACCGUAAACGUGCCAUAACUCCCACCCACCACAGCUAGCAAACUAUAUCAUUUUAAAAUAUUUAAAUUAAUUAAAUAAAUUGAAUCCCUGAGGGUUAAAAAAAAGUUAACCCUAAGGGGUUAAAAAAAUAAAUAAAUCGGAUCACAGUAUAAUACUGUGAUCUGUAUUUUGAUCAGUGUAGGUAGUGAUCAACUGGCAGGGAAGGGGUUAAUUUUUAUUAGAACUGGGUAAAGGAGGGUGGGAUUAUUCCUUUUUAUUUUUUUAAUUAUUAAAACAUUUUUUACUUUUUAAAUCUUUUUUUUAACGUUAACCCCUAGCUAGUCGAACACCAAAUUCCCCCAUUCCCCAACUAACUUCCUCCCUGUUUCUAAAUAUAUCAUUUUAAUAUAUUUAAAUGAAUUAAUAAAAUAAAAUUAACCCCUGAGGGUUACAAAAAAUAAAAGUUGACCCUCAACGGUUAAAAAAAAAAAAAAAAUCAGAUCACAGUAAAAUCUAGUCUCUGCCAAUUGAUCACUGUAGUCAGUGAUCAAUUGGCAGGGAAGAGGUUAAUUUUUAUUUAAAAUGGGUAAAGCGGGGUGGGAUUUUAAACUAACUUUAUUUUUUUUUACAGGGGAAGCACAUCAUCACUGAUCCGUCUCCCUACACGUCACACAGAUCAGGGAAGAGCAGGGAGGCGGAUGGUGAGUCCCUGCAGCACAUGUGCUCGCUCUGACGGGUGCUCCCGUUCAACCUCUAAUACAGAAACAGACCGGAGGAGUGUUAACCCCGCGAUCGCGGCAAUCUGGGGUUAACUUUAAAGCAUGAUGGACCAUGUCAUUCGGCGUUAAAUGUUUCCCCGUCAUGACGGGACCGGGUCCGUCAUCCGACGGGAAGGUGUUAAGACAAUAAAAAAAACAAAAAAAACAUUUUACACCAAGAUGCUUUCACUGCUAUUCUAGAUCAUAUAAUAUUGAUUCAUGACAGUUUUCAAAGAG
rnacentral:lncRNA from 1 species